AUACGGAGGGGGCUAGCGUUGUUCGGAAUUACUGGGCGUAAAGCGUACGUAGGCGGACUGAUCAGUUGGGGGUGAAAUCCCAGGGCUUAACCCUGGAACUGCCUUCAAUACUGUCAGUCUUGAGAUUGGAAGAGGUGAGUGGAAUUCCUAGUGUAGAGGUGAAAUUCAUAGAUAUUAGGAGGAACACCAGUGGCGAAGGCGGCUCACUGGCCCAUUACUGACGCUGAGGUACGAAAGCGUGGGGAGCAAACAGGAUUAGAAACCCCAGUAGUCC
rnacentral:rRNA from 1 species